UAUUUCCUCCUCUUGCUUUGUCUUUUUCCUUUCGUCUCUACCGUUCCUUCCUCUCUUUUCUUUCCUCUUUCUCUCUCUCAUCAUCCUACUCUAACCAACCUGUGAACACUUUCCCCCUCGUUCUGUCAUUCCUCCGUUUUUAUAUAUCCUUGCAACCUACGCAGGGUGAAAGAUCACAUAAAUUUGUCAAUCUCAACAAGAAAGAAUCCAAAUUGAAAUUAUAAGAAGACUUCUGUGAUUACCUAUAUUGAUCUACUAUUCAUUAAUUCCUAUUAAUUCCAUGAUAAAUUAAUCUAAACUAUAUAUAAUUAAUUUAAUACUUAAAUCAAUUCGCAAUGGCAUUAAUAAUUAUCGUUAUUGACUCCAUUAAUUAAUUCUAAUCUAUAUUUUCAUACGGCAACGCAGACGAGAACUUAAUUAUCGUCAAUUAUAGCUUUAAUUGAAUUCCUAUGUACGAUCGGUAUCCGUUUACGUGUGCGUUUAAUUAAUAUAUUAUAUCAUAUAUAAGUUCAAUGUCUAUUCGGCGUAAAAGGAGCCGAAAUAUUUGAUUUCGUUUGAAACAAGCUAUCUGCCAGACUAUCGCGAUGGUAUCGUUUCAGACGUCGGGAAUGUCUGUUAUCGAAGAUGGGAAGAGAACGGAAGUCUGGUAGGUGUAACUUGUAAGUAUCCGAGCGUAUCUUUAACCCUUUCUUUACGACGUGCAUACAUAGCUACGAGUACGACUCCUGUGUACGUAUUAUUGUACCAGCGAUUUCGCAAAUCGACGUUCAAAAUCCUUCGAAACGUACUUCGGUUACAAUUCAUAUCAUUCGAGUAUCUUAGAAUAUGAAGAAACAGAGUGCAGAUAUCAAGAUAGUACAGGAACGUUCGUCGUUCGAAUUUGUUGAAGUGGUUACCACUUCUAAGAAAACUCUACAUCUGGUCAUUUUUAGUUUUCUCAAGCACUGAAGCCAUCGACAGCGCGUAGACAAAAGACUGCGACGAAGUCAGGCCAUAAACAGUAGACAGGCGACGUUGGCUUCGGGGUUUUUCAGUUAUUAGGUAACACAGCUAGCGUGCGGAUCUGGACCAGCUCAAAUUGUAUUUUUACCUGUUACACUUCUAUUUAAAUAUAUUUUCUACCUUACAAUUUAUCCACGUGUUUUCUCUGUUUACACACCGAAUAACCUCAACAGAAUUAAACGCCAAAGAAUCGAUUAAAACCUACGCGAAUGAAGUAUCGGUAUUUGCAGUUUCCUACAGUUCAACGACUAUUCUUCCUAAAUAACAGCAAACUGUACAAAGCAGUACACAUGCACUAAAUGCAGUAGGAGAUCAGCAUACGAAUUCAAGCACUCACUCGGUACACAUUUUGCAGUACGACGAUCGAAAUAACAGUGCAGAUGGUCGUCUUACGUAAUCAGUAUCGGAUAAAUUAUCACCAGACUAGACUACGGGAUUUUUAUACAUUCGUAAAAAAUGCAAAAUUCUAAAAAUACGCAAGACGCAUACUGUACGUGAUAUAAAAAGCUAUAUAAAGUAUGCAAAGCGCGAUACUCGUUGCGAUAUUUACUAGGUAAAAUUUCUACGUAUGUUCCGUUUUCCUACUGACGUUCGCAAAAAUUCGUAAAAUUUGCAUAAGCAUCCGCAGUCUAAUCAUUACCUGAACGCCGAUGAUCGACGGUAGCAGUCAUGGUUCGUUACGUGGCGACUAUAAUCGACAUUCGUAUUCACAGGUUUUCCAACACGGAUACCGACUAUGGUUGGCGUUAAGAGUGGCACAGUUAAAUAACGAACAGCUUACACGAGUUCGUGUCCUGCGUACGAAAUUGCUAUCCACCCACGCGUAGAGGAUGUGAACCGUGCUGGACGGUGUAAACGAGACGUAAUUACUUCCCGAGUAAAAGCAGAAAGGCGUCCCAGCGAUCUCGAUGCAGACCACUUCCAUGGAAAUCUUACGCAAAAUCGUGCCGUUGCUCGUUAAGCCGAACGUUGCGAAACAUCGUCGUUUCGCACAUGCUCGUGGGCAAACGAAAUUGAACAGGACGAAGGGGAAAGAUUAACACAAGAGAAUCAGCAGCGGCACGAAACGGAAUUUCCUUCUCGCAAUGCGAAUUAACACCUUUCGCGUUUCGCGAGAAGGAAAAGUUUAUGAAGACGAUGAUUCCACGACUCUAAGACAGAAGAAGGAUUUUUUAAGUAACAACGGUCUUGGACGAGAUUAAAAGAUUACAUCGUUGGACGCAAUAAAAUUUAAAAAUAAACUUGAUACGACGCCGGGUUGAUACCUUCGGUAUUUUUAAAGCAGGAACAUUACGUUUAGGACGAUUACGUUAAAAAUUCUCCCCUUCUCUGUUUCCAUCGUUUACGAUCUCUUUAGACGACGACUUAUAACUCUGAAAUGGAAGAACGAUUUUGUAAAUAAAGUAAACGCGUACGACGAUUAACGCAAUAAAAUUUAUGUAAGUCAGACGCUACGUAAACGAACAUCUUGCGUGUCUCGAGAAGAGCAAACGUUUAGGAUGGUUGUAUUAAAACAUGUAAUUAGAGAAGAAUGGAAUUUCAGCUGUUCUUGCAACAUUGAUCUUCCGUUGCGUUUGCCUUGAUUAACAUAUUCGUUGCUUGUAUCUUGCAUUUCAAUUGGCACGUAUGGGCUUUGCUUUUACGUAGAUCUUGAUAAAUGCGAUGAUGUUAAUUUCGAUGCUGAAUAUCGAUAAAAAGCGAAGGGGAUUUGGAAAGAAAAGUUGUAUAAUAAAUUCACGUGCAACGUGAAACGUUAUAUGUAUAUAUAAAAGGUAUUGAUAUUGCCAAAUACCUGUAAUGCAACGAACGUGUUAGAUAUUAAUACAGCGAAGAGUCAAUAGCAUAGUGAGAGGAAUUUAGCAAAUGAACAUUUUAUUUAUAAAAGUCUGUUAUUAAUGCGGAACGUGUUAAUUAGCAAGUUUCUCUUUUUCUAUUUCUAAAAAAAUGCAUACUCUUUGUGAUUGAAAUUUCGAACAGAAAAGAGGAAAAGUACGAUUCUUAUGUCAACAGCAGGUUCUAUAAAAUGUCGUGAACCGAAGCUAAUAAGCUUUAAUUACGGAAAAGUACCGAGCACCGGUUGGCAAUCUGGUAUUAGUCGAGUACUGUUCACAGGAACACGAGGUGAGUUCACAAGCCAGCAGCACUUGCUGUGAUUCUGACAGAAGUGCAGCGACCAUAACAGAGCGGAGGAAAAAAUCUGGUAUACCAAACACGAACGCCAAUUUUUCGUUCCAUUCUACUCUUUUUGCCCUCGUAAAUUCAUUGACAUUAUCACAAAUUCGAUGUUGCAUAUGUUACGAACGCUAUUUUGAUGAUAAGUAAACAAACGAGGUGACAAAAAUGCUAUAUAAAAUCUUGAAUCUACGUAAUAUUAUAAUUAUUAAGUAGAUACGAAUAAAGCGUGAAAUUCUCUGUCUUUUUUUAUUUUCGCUAUUUAUUAACGUUUUGCAAGUUAGCAAUUUAUAAUUUGAAUAGGAAAAACCGAAUAAUUAAUAGUUCUGAAAUAUUGCGAAAAAUGUUUGUUUCUCCGGUGGCAAUAAUUGUCAACAUAUACACAUAUUUACAUACACAAGACUAAAACGAGAUUCGUAUUAAAACGAGAUUAACAUAUUUAUGAUUAUCUGUAUCGUUUAACACGUUCAACAACAUCAUCGCACCUUUGGCUAUAAUUUUUACCAUACAUGCUAUUCAAUAUAUUAAUCCAAGGUAUUUAAAUUGUUUGUAUCGUUAAUUAUAUCUUUGGUUCGUAAAUAACAUAAAAUAUAACGAAUUUGUUUUCAACCGCUAUUAAUAAAAUUAUUAUCCGACUUUUAAAUUUGCAUUCCACGCGAGUUUCUUGCCAGUUAAAAAUACUCGUUCUAAAGUCGUUAAUUCAAUAUAUAAUUUCAUAAUAUUUCCAUUCAAAGUAUUAAAUUAGUUUCGUCGUCGAUUAUAUUUUUAAUUCAUAAAUAAUCCAAAUGCCUUCUUAGAAACGCUGCCUGAGCUUCAAAUUUCCACUCCUCGACGGGUCUCCUAUCGACUGAAACCACUCGAUUCAACAAGCAAUUCUAUAAGUUUAUGCAAAUUUCCAUUCAAAGUAGCAAAUUGUUUUAAAAGUGCAACGGAUGC